UCAGCCUCUAACCCAACAAAACUGUUGAUUUCAAACAAUACUUCUCAUCUCACUUUUCAUCUUGAUUGAAGUAACAAGUAGGCCUUUCCAGAUCAAGGAUCCUAAUUGUAGCAUUACUUCCCUAAGGUCAUAGUGAGCCUUCAUAAGAAGAGCUGUUUUCAUCAUUGUGACCCAAUUGUGAGCACCAUGAAGAAUUCUACAAUAAUGUCAAGAUUCAGCAAGAGAUGUAACCCUAAAGUGCUUAGCACCUUGAUCUGGAUCCCACAGGAGGAACAAGGUGCCAAGAUGCAGCAGGAAUAACCCUUAAGCUGUCAAGUCUGAACUUUGGGCAACAUCUUCAAAUAAAAUAAGGGUAUGUUU